UACGGAGGGUGCGAGCGUUGUCCGGAAUCACUGGGCGUAAAGGGCGCGUAGGCGGCCUGAUAAGUAGGGGGUGAAAUCUUGCGGCUUAACCGCAAGGCUGCCUUCUAAACUGUCAGGCUAGAGCACAGUAGAGGCAGGUGGAAUUCCCGGUGUAGCGGUGGAAUGCGUAGAGAUCGGGAAGAACAUCAGUGGCGAAGGCGGCCUGCUGGGCUGUUGCUGACGCUGAGGCGCGAAAGCGUGGGGAGCGAACAGG
rnacentral:rRNA from 1 species